AAGGGUAUAGCUCAGUGGUAGAGUGCAUGCCUAGCAUGCACAAGAUCCUGGGUUCAAUCCCCAGUACUCCUC
rnacentral:tRNA from 1 species